ensembl:lncRNA
CACCUGUUCUCCUUUCCAUUUCAUCAGUCCACAUCUGAUGACAGAACAACCCCUGAGUCACGAUGAUAUUACUUUUCUGAAGAGUGCUUACUAUUUACUGGCACUGGAACUGGCUCCCCAGGGCAGUGGUCAUGACUCUGAGCUACUGGAGUUCAAGGAGCAGUUAGACAAUGCUCUCAGAUACAGGGUUUGUAUUUUGUGUAGUUGUGUAGUGGACAUGCUAAGGCAUGGCCUGAACCAGUGAUUGAGCACCUGGUGGGAAGGCAGGGCCAACCCAGUGGAGCUCAGGUGCAUGUAAUGUACCUGAGUGAUCAGAAGGGAUGGAGCCAGGAUCCACCCCUUCCCAGACCUCAUUUAAGGGUUGGCAGUGGAAGCAAGGAUAUUUCUCUGGAGAUCCCUGCCUACCUGAGGCCUUCUUAGGAGGAUGCAUUCUCUGAUUGUGUAUUAGUGGUCAGAUGCUGAGCUGGUGAACUCCUUUCCUCACAGAGAAAAACUCUUUUUGCUUGUCCAAGGAAAUAACAGGCACCUUCAAAAGUGAAGAACUACCUCAAAUUGCUUGGGCAGUCAGAGUGAUUGGCUCAACUAAUCACCUUACAUUUGCAGGAACACCUGGUAUGCAGUUUACAUCCCGCGAGAAGCAAACUUCCAUUAGGAACUGAGUAGAGAAGAUGACUAAAUCUGCAUGGACUUAUCAACAGACUUUUGCAAGCAUGAGCUCUUUAGCUUAGUCUUGUGAAACCACCCCACAAAACACAUCUGCACACACAGUGAGAAUUUCAGAGCAACAAAGCUUUCGGGUGUUUACAGGAGCUUUGAUCCUAAAAUGACAGCAAAUGGGCAUGAUGAAAAGAGUCUAAUUAUCAUUCUUGUGGAUAGAAUGAGAUUAUCUGACACUAGCAAAUGUUCCUGGACUUGAAUCAGUUGUGUGCCAGUAAGAACACAAGGAUCGGAGACAAACAUGUUGCAAAAUGAACCAUAGGCUGGAGCUUUCAUCCAAAAUCCAUAUCCAUGUCAGCUCAUUCAAAAACAUGAUGAGCAUGGCACAGAGGGCUUUGCAGGGCUUAUUGCAAAGGCUCCCAGCAUCUGAAGGAGGCAGAAGAAAGUGCAGAAACAACUAUAGAAGACAAUGAGGAAAUGGAACCGAAAUCAUGGAUGAAUUGUAGCAAGAACCCUGGGAAAAAAAAAAAAAAAAAAGAAAAAAAAAAAAGAAUUUAUUUGGUUGAGUACUGAUUAAAAGAGGUGUCAGCUGUUUCCAGCCCUUUCCAGGAUACAGGAUGCUAUGUCCUCCUCAGAAACAAACAAACAAAUAAACAACAAAAACAACAUUGCUCCUCAUUAAAAUGAAAGGGUUGAUUUGCAAAACGCAAUGUUUCCUCUUAAAUUCAAGACAGAUUAUCUGGCUUGGAGGUGCCAGAUUAGGUGCUCCAAAACGCAAGGUAACUGGCAGGUGAAGGCCUUGGUCUCUCAGACUAAUAAGCUCUGAUAAAGAAGGUGGAUGGCUCAGACUCUCUCCUGACCCUCAGCACAUGAGCUGGCUUUUUUUUUUUUUUCUUGAAAUCAGUUGUGAAACAAGCAUUGUCUUUCCUGAGGCUCCAUCUUCCAACAUGGAAGGACCUGGAUGGAAUGAGAAAUCUUUCUCAUAUUUAUGAAACAUAAAGCAAAGGAGAGGGAGUGGAUCUCAAAAGGAACUAGGCCAGAUGGAAAUACACAGCCUCCCCAGUAUGCUGUAUGUGUGCCAGUGGGGUGGAUUCCCACACACAGGAGCCAUGUGAUGGACACUGAUGGCAUGUCUCCGUGGGGACCAUCCUGCAGAACACAAAAUGAGGA